rnacentral:rRNA from 1 species
GACGAACGCUGGCGGCGUGCCUAAUACAUGCAAGUAGAACGCUGAAGGAGGAGCUUGCUUCUCUGGAUGAGUUGCGAACGGGUGAGUAACGCGUAGGUAACCUGCCUGGUAGCGGGGGAUAACUAUUGGAAACGAUAGCUAAUACCGCAUAAGAGUAGAUGUUGCAUGACAUUUGCUUAAAAGGUGCAAUUGCAUCACUACCAGAUGGACCUGCGUUGUAUUAGCUAGUUGGUGAGGUAACGGCUCACCAAGGCGACGAUACAUAGCCGACCUGAGAGGGGGCUCGGCCUCGCUGGGAUGGGGACACGGCCCAGACUCCUACGGGUGGCAGCCGUAGGGAAUCUUCGGCAAUGGACGGAAGUCUGACCGAGCAACGCCGCGUGAGUGCAGAAGGUUUUCGGAUCGUAUAGCUCUGUUGUAAGAGAAGAACGAGUGUGAGAGUGGAAAGUUCACACUGUGACGGUAUCUUACCAGAAAGGGACGGCUAACUACGUG